UACCUACAUAUAUAUUUUAGACUUUAUUCCUUACGAAUUUACCACUCAAGUCAUCAUCAUUAUCAACUACAGAAUACAGAAUGAUAUCUUUACAAGCCCCGAGAUGAAGCCGAUGAAACUCAUAAAUACAGAGUAAUACAUAUCUUCCUUUACAUACGAAUAAAAGAGACAACUACAGAUUGUACUUGCGAAUGAUGAUUCGACAUUAUUAGCAAUUGAGCCAAAUAAUUAUUUAUAACACUAAUACAAUCAAAAUAAAGUUCAAUUUAGUGUGGUCGGGUCGAGAGAUCGAGUUUAUUAUAUGGAUCACCAAACGGGUCUCACAAGAUCGGGUGUUUUAGUCGUCCGCGACCCGAUUAUUCACGAGAACUACAGAUUUGAGAGUUAUUCUAUUAAAAAUAAAGUUCAAUUUAGCGUGGUCGGGUCGAGUGAUCGAGUUUUUAUAUGAAUCACAAGAUCGGGUGUUUUAGACGUCCGCGACCCGAUUAUUCACGAGAACUACAGAUUUGAGAGUUAUUGUUUUAAAAAUAAAGUUCGAUUUAGCGUGGUCGGGUCGAGUGAUCGAGUUUUUAAUGAAUCACAAGAUCGGGUGUUUUAGACGUCCGCGACCCGAUUAUUCACGAGAUCUACAGAUUUGAGAGUUAUUGUAAUCAAAAUAAAGUUCAAUUUAGUAUGGUAAACAAAAACCUUUCGAUCUUUUAAUCGAGUCUGCGCCCGGGCGGGUCUCCAAACGGGUCACAUAAGAUCGGGUGUUUUUAACGUCCGCGACCCAAUUACUCACGCACAAGUAGUGAUCGGGUGUCGGAGAUUUGAUCAUUCGCGAUCGACACAGGUCUAGAGAAAACUAAAUAACCCAAUGCACUUCAAAUAACGCAGUGAACUGAACGACAUCUUAUCUUUGUUUUUGAAAUUUUGACAGCUUUACUUAACAAACAAAAUAUGGCUCACUGAUUGGCUGUUCAUUUCGACCAAUGACAGAAGAGUUGCGACACUAGCGUUCAGAGCCAAAGUGGAAGCGGGUGGAACUAAAAUCUGUCUCAGGCCUGCCUGCACCUGUGAACUCGUUACUCGAUAUUGACACAAACAAAAAAACACAUCGACAUUUUGUUAAGUGUUUAUCACAGACUAGCCGCCCACUUACAAAAUAAAACCAUAACGUGUACAUACUCUUUGGUAACAGGGAUCGAUUGCAGCGACAAAACGGCACAUGCAAGAACUAAAGUGUCAUACCCCCUGGGGCCUAAUUGUCUAACGGAGUUCAUUGAUCGUAAAGUUCAUACGAUCGGCUACGAUCAACGAUCAAUCGUAACUUUACAUUGGUAUUGUCUAAUUUAGUUCAUUAUAUGAAGACCGGAUGGUGAACGAUGAACUGAAAUCAUUCAUGAAGAUUGCGUAUUGUUUAUGCAAAACGAUAGUGAAACUAUCGUUAAUAAUAUUAUCAAAUUUAAGUCAAACUCCAUAAUAAUGCAUAUAUUUUAACAAAGUUUUAUGUCUUUUAUUUAAAACAUUAAAGAAGCAUUAAAUUUCACGAAAAAUAUCUACUAUUGAAGAAAAUAGCGUGAGAAAAUGGUACAUGCAACUCGAGUAACAAAACGCAAUUAACGAAUUUAACCAAGGGCUAUUUGGACUAUUUGGUAAUCUCCCUGUUGUCUGUGUAGGCUAGUGUCAAAAUAACGGGGUAUCCUAUUAGUCUGUGGUGAAACAUAGCAUAUUAAUAACCUGUGUAUUAGAAAUUUUAAUUUAACAAAACAAAACAAUAUUUUUAUUUUUCAGGUUUUAAAGAGAAUUUAGAAAUUGAGCAAAGUUUUACUAAAUUAUAGUGAUCUUAGGAGCAAAGUUUACUUCGUUUAUGUUAUUGUUAAUCAAAAAUAUAAAAGAAAACUACCUCUAUCUAAUUUUGUCGAUGUCCAUUUCUUAAGAAGUUUCUCAUUAAAACAACCCUUAACUCAGGCAAGGCAGGGCUAAGGUGGUUAGCGUAACUACAAGUGGUUAACUUACAGUUAGCCAACUGAAGAACAAUCAACAAUGCCCGAUUAAUAAGUGAUCGCGCUGCUUGUCUACUACAUGUCCCUGCACUAGUUAUAGCAGUAAUUUCUUUGUUGGGAAGUAUUUAGCACAUCCGGGCUGCGCAAAAGGAGAGGACUAAAUUGAUUAUUAUGAACAGACCAUUAUGAUGAACCACUGAUAUUGACUCAGAGACAUGAAGAUGAGUGCUUUGACAACAAGACUGACUAGCUGAGCCAGCUUAAGAAUUAUGUGGUGUGUGUGUGUCUAAUUCCAGGAGCUCUCUAUGUCAGCCAUCCAUCUAUAUUCUUACUCAUUUUUGUUAAUUAUAAAAUAAAUUUGAUUAUUUAGUGUGUAACUUCAUUGUACCUAUCCUGCUAGCUGUUAGAAAGAUAGCAUCUGUAAUAAUUUAUUUACACUAAAACAUAUUUAAAAAUAAACAUGCUUUAACAUUUAAGUAUGGCCAAUAUGUUGUCAAGUACAGUGGGCAGGGCUGAAUCCAUGAUUGAUGACUGAUCCAUGAUGAUGACUCGUUUUUCUGAUUUAAGAAAAUAUACUCAUCAUCAAAACAGUGUCUGCAAGUACUGUACAGGCUGACUGUUUGGAUGAGAAGUAUAUAUUUGAUUAUUUUUAAGCUUUGUGGUUUCAGGGUUUAAAAAAUGUCUAACUGAAAGUCUAUGAUUACUGUAUUUAUUAUUAUUAUAAUAAAUAAACUUAAAAAAAUCUUUUUUUUAUAAACUUCCAACCCCUAUUUCACCCUCAGAGAUGUCAUUUUCAUAAUUCUUAGAAUACUAGUAGUCAAGAUACUGUAAUAAAAAGAUACAGUUUGUGAGAUUGUAGGGGUUUUGUACCACUUUAGUACUAUUUGGAUACUUAUAUAUUUGGGUUUGAGUAAGGUAUGUCGUGUCCCGGGUAGCGGUUAUGGGUGUUAAAUAAUAGUAGGCUCUACUGAUAAAACACUUGUAUUGACUAUCAGUUACAACGGUUAGGUAACGACUGGCGACAAACCGCCCGUAUUGACUUCGUCAUAAUUACGAAAAUGCUUAAGUAGCAUUUUCAUUUACAAUCUAUGUGUGUGUGACCACCACAUCAUUCCACCCCCUUUUUUUUUUUU